rnacentral:rRNA from 1 species
AUUGAACGCUGGCGGCAGGCCUAACACAUGCAAGUCGAACGAGUGGCGGACGGGUGCGUAAUGUCUGGGAAACUGCCUGAUGGAGGGGGAUAACUACUGGAAACGGUCGCUACUACCGCCUACCAUCGGAUGUGCCCAUAUGGGAUUAGCUAGUAGGUGGGGUAAAGGCUCACCUAGGCGACGAUCCCUAGCUGGUCUGAGAGGAUGACCAGCAACACUGGAACUGAGACACGGUCCAGACGCCUACGGGAGGCAGCAGUGGGGAAUAUUGCACAAUGGGCGCAAGCAGGAUGCAGCCAUGCCGCGUGUAUGAAGAAGGCCUGAGGGUUGUAAAGUACUUUCAGCGGGGAGGCGUUACCCGCAGAAGAAGCACCGGCUAACUCCGUGCCAGCAGCCGCGGUAAUAC